GAACGGAUUUGGUCAGGAGUCCGAGGGCAGACUAGAGACUGCGGAUUGGGUGGAGAACUGGAGAGAACUCCCACCCCAACCCCAUACUCCUCCCUCUUCCAUCCUCCCAAGACUCACACUGCCUCCCCAGAAGAGCCGCCCUCGGCCCUUCAGCUUCGAGAAGACAUACACAAUUUGACCCCUGUGUAUGGUCAGAAAACGGCAGUCAGGAGCCACGUAGUCCUGAAGGGCCACAGCCAUGGAGAUGGGGUCUGGAGAAGGAAUAGAAGGGAACAGCAGCACUACGUACACAGACGUGCAACCCAAGUCCCAGCUCCCCAUUCCCGCUCUUACGGCUGCAUUCCUCAUCAGCACAAAGCUUCCGGUCAGCCAGUUUGGGCAUGGGGCGGUCUGCGACACUAGGCCCUGGAAAGGCAGUCAGCAAGAGGAUGACACCAAGGAGCACUGGAGACCACGCCAUCAUGGACUACGGAGCAACAGUGACCAGAUAUUCUGCAUCACUUCAGGAGGAGGUGAUGGAAAUGGAAAUGGAAGUUCAGAAAGUUAAGGAACUUGGCCCCAGCACAUCGGCACAUGUCUGUAAUUCCUAGUAACUCUGGAGACUGAAGCAAGAGAAUUGCAAAUUCAAGGCCAGCCUGGGACCUUAGUGAGACUUGUCUCA